UACGGAAUGUGCAAACGUUAUUCGGAAUCACUGGGCUUAAAGAGUCCGUAGGCGGCUUGUUAGGUGAGGUGUGAAAUCCCCGGGCUUAACCUGGGAACUGCGCUUGUUACUGGCAGGCUGGAGUGUGGCAGAGGGGGGUGGAAUUCCACGUGUAGCAGUGAAAUGCGUAGAGAUGUGGAGGAACACCGAUGGCGAAGGCAGCCCCCUGGGCUAACACUGACGCUCAUGCACGAAGGCGUGGGGAGCAAACAGG
rnacentral:rRNA from 1 species